rnacentral:rRNA from 1 species
CCUACGGGAGGCAGCAGUGGGGGAUAUUGCGCAAUGGGCGAAAGCCUGACGCAGCGACGCCGCGUGGGUGAUGAAGGCCUUCGGGUCGUAAAGCCCUGUCGAGGGGAACGAAACGGUCUCGACCCAAUACGUCGAGGCCCUGACGGUACCCCUAAAGGAAGCACCGGCUAACUCCGUGCCAGCAGCCGCGGUAAUACGGAGGGUGCGAGCGUUGUUCGGAAUCACUGGGCGUAAAGGGCGUGUAGGCGGUCCGCUAAGUCUGAUGUGAAAGCCCGGGGCCCACCCCCGGAAGGGCAUUGGAAACUGGCGGACUCGAGUCCCGGAGAGGAAGGUGGAAUUCCUGGUGUAGCGGUGAAAUGCGUAGAUAUCAGGAGGAAUACCGGUGGCGAAGGCGGCCUUCUGGACGGUGACUGACGCUGAGACGCGAAAGCGUGGGGAGCAAACAGGAUUAGAUACCCUGGUAGUCCACGCUGUAAACGAUGAGCACUAGGUGUCGUGGGUAUUGACCCCCGCGGUGCCGACGCUAACGCAUUAAGUGCUCCGCCUGGGGACUACGGCCGCAAGGUUAAAACUCAAAGGAAUUGACGG